rfam:Gossypium arboreum cultivar AKA8401 contig_45421_1, whole genome shotgun sequence.
AAUUCAUGGUGUGGCCAUCUCUAAAUGAGCAUUUUUAAAAUGCUCCCAAGCUUUGUGAAAACUUUCUCCUUUUAAUUGUUUAAAAGUUAUGAUCUCUCUUCUUAGUU